rnacentral:rRNA from 1 species
GAUGAACGCUGGCGGCGUGCUUAACACAUGCAAGUCGAACGGAAAGGCCCUGCUUUUGUGGGGUGCUCGAGUGGCGAACGGGUGAGUAACACGUGAGUAACCUGCCCUUGACUUUGGGAUAACUUCAGGAAACUGGGGCUAAUACCGGAUAGGAGCUCCUGCUGCAUGGUGGGGGUUGGAAAGUUUCGGCGGUUGGGGAUGGACUCGCGGCUUAUCAGCGUGUUGGUGGGGUAGUGGCUUACCAAGGCUUUGACGGGUAGCCGGCCUGAGAGGGUGACCGGCCACAUUGGGACUGAGAUACGGCCCAGACUCCUACGGGAGGCAGCAGUGGGGAAUAUUGCACAAUGGGCGGAAGCCUGAUGCAGCAACGCCGCGUGCGGGAUGACGGCCUUCGGGUUGUAAACCGCUUUCGCCUGUGACGAAGCGUGAGUGACGGUAAUGGGUAAAGAAGCACCGGCUAACUACGUG